rnacentral:lncRNA from 1 species
GGUUGUUUCAGAUAGGGGGGUAAGUCUGGUCUCUGUUAUUCCAUCUCGCCCAGAAGCAGAAGUCUGAAGUGGGGAAUGAGACUUGAACUACUUAGGAUGUGAAGCUGGAGAAGGUCAGGGUAGAAGAGGACCUGGUGCCCCAGCACUAUAUGUGUGUAAACGGUGGAGAUGUGUCCUUCCUGCAGAGGCCUGUAUUCAGCUGGGUUGUGGCUAGAAAGAGAUCACAAGUAAGCAGAGAGGCAGACAGAGAGAGAGAGAGGAAGGGAAGCAGGCUCCCUGAUGAGCAGAGAGCCCAACGCAGGGCUCCAUCCCAGGACCCCAGGAUCAUGACCUGAGCUGAAGGCAGAGGCUUUAACCCACUGAGCCACCCAGGUGCCCCAAGGAUUAUGUCUUUUAAAAACAUUAUGUCUGAGUAUUUCCCUCACUCCUUUCCCCCCUCUGCCUUUGAUUACCCACUAAAUCUGGCACAAAUACAGAUUGAG